rnacentral:rRNA from 1 species
GAUGAACGCUGGCGGCGUGCCUAAUACAUGCAAGUCGAACGCAUUGUGGUUGAACUGAUAUGAAGAACUUGUUCAGAUUUGAUUUUCAACAUUGCAAUGAGUGGCGAACGGGUGAGUAACACGUGGGAAACCUACCUCUUAGCAGGGGAUAACAUUUGGAAACAAAUGCUAAUACCGUAUAAUAAUUAAAACCGCAUGGUUUUAGUUUAAAAGAAUGGUCUUGCUAUCACUAAGAGAUGGUCCCGCGGUGUAUUAGUUAGUUGGUGAGGUAAUGGCUCACCAAGACAAUGAUACAUAGCCGAGUUGAGAGACUGACCGGCCACAAUGGGACGUGAGACACGG